rnacentral:rRNA from 1 species
UACAGAGGGUGCGAGCGUUAAUCGGAAUUACUGGGCGUAAAGCGUGCGUAGACGGCUAUCUAAGUCGGGUGUGAAAGCCCCGGGCUCAACCUGGGAAUUGCAUUCGAGACUGAAUAGCUAGGGUACGGUAGAGGGAAGCGGAAUUUCCGGUGUAGCGGUGAAAUGCGUAGAUAUCGGAAGGAACAUCAGUGGCGAAAGCGGCUUCCUGGACCAGUACCGACGUUCGGGCACGAAAGCGUGGGGAGCAAACAGG